UCUCCCUAAUAGUUGAGGGGAAUGUCGUCUGGUUCGAAAUCGUUCUGUGAGCUCAAGUAUGAUCAUCAGGAUGAUUUCGGACCAGGCUUCAUUCCCCUCAAACUAGGAGA
rnacentral:pre_miRNA from 1 species